rnacentral:lncRNA from 1 species
UGACAGUGCGUGGUCUGAUAAAUUUGUAAAUAACACCACUUAUGACCCCUAGUUCAGAGUGGUACCUAUAAGUACCGUUGGGAUAAAUAACGUUGCAUUUUUAGAUUUGAAGACAGUAUACAAAAAUGGCAAAGAAAAAGUUUUAUACAAAAAAUUUGUCUGACUCAGAAUUGCUGGAGAUUAUAGAGGAUGAAGAUUUUUAUUUAGAUGAAUAUUUUCCAUCUUUUAAUGAUCCUGACACUGAUAUGGAGGAUUUUGAUGCGGUUGAAGAAGGUCCAUUAGCAGAUGUAUUUUCCAGUGACAAUUCUGAUAAUCAAGCCGAAGAAAUUUUAGAAGAUACAAAUAAGGUGAUGAAUAGUGAACAAAAAGAAGUUACAGAACAGAUAGAGAGUGAAAUCGAUCUAGAAAAUAUAAAUGACAAUGAAACUGAAGGUGAUUAAGAGGAAAACGACAAAAAUGUCGAAUUAACAAUACAAAGAAAAUGGGAAAGAAGAUUAGCAAUAGCCCCUGAUUUGUCAGAAUAUA